rnacentral:tRNA from 1 species
GCCUCAGUGGCCUAAUGGAUAAGGCAUCGGUUUCCUAAACCGGAGAUUGUGGGUUCGAGUCCCACCGGAGGUG